CGAUACUUGGUGUGAAUUGCAGAAUUCAGUGAAUCAUCGAAUCUUUGAACGCAUAUUGCGCCUAUUAGUAUUCUAGUGGGCAUGCCUGUUCGAGCGUCAUUUUAACCCUUAAGCCUCUGUUGCUUAGUGUUGGGAGCUUACGGCCAUAGUAGCUCCUUAAAGUUAGUGGCGGAGUUGGUUUACACUCUAGGCGUAGUAGAUUUUAUCUCGCCUAUUAGUUGGACUAGUCCCUUGCCAUUAAACCCCAUUUCUCAAGGUUGACCUCGGAUCAGGUAGGAAUACCCGCUGAACUUAAGCAUAUCAAUAAGCGGAGGA
rnacentral:rRNA from 1 species